rnacentral:rRNA from 1 species
UGGGGAAUAUUGCACAAUGGGCGCAAGCCUGAUGCAGCCAUGCCGCGUGUAUGAAGAAGGCCUUCGGGUUGUAAAGUACUUUCAGCGGGGAGGAAGGCGAUAAGGUUAAUAACCUUGUCGAUUGACGUUACCCGCAGAAGAAGCACCGGCUAAAUCCGUGCCAGCAGCCGCGGUAAUACGGAGGGUGCAAGCGUUAAUCGGAAUUACUGGGCGUAAAGCGCACGCAGGCGGUCUGUCAAGUCGGAUGUGAAAUCCCCGGGCUCAACCUGGGAACUGCAUUCGAAACUGGCAGGCUAGAGUCUUGUAGAGGGGGGUAGAAUUCCAGGUGUAGCGGUGAAAUGCGUAGAGAUCUGGAGGAAUACCGGUGGCGAAGGCGGCCCCCUGGACAAAGACUGACGCUCAGGUGCGAAAGCGUGGGGAGCAAACA